GGGCCAGCUGGGGCUACAGCUUACAGCUACGACCUUCGAGGCCACAAUCAAACAGCAUAAACUGGUACAUGACAUCUCUUACUUC